rnacentral:rRNA from 1 species
UAAUUGAAGAGUUUGAUCAUGGCUCAGAUUGAACGCUGGCGGCAGGCCUAACACAUGCAAGUCGAGCGGUAACAGGGGAAGCUUGCUUCCCGCUGACGAGCGGCGGACGGGUGAGUAAUGUAUGGGGAUCUGCCCGAUAGAGGGGGAUAACUACUGGAAACGGUAGCUAAUACCGCAUAAUCUCUCAGGAGCAAAGCAGGGGAACUUCGGUCCUUGC